rnacentral:rRNA from 1 species
GGCAGCACGGAGCUUGCUCUGGUGGCGAGUGGCGAACGGGUGAGUAAUGCGUCGGAACGUAUCCAAUAAUGGGGGAUAACGCAGCGAAAGCUGUGCUAAUACCGCAUACGCCCUCCGGGGGAAAGCAGGGGAUCGUAAGACCUUGCGUUAAUGGAGCGGCCGNCNUCNGNNNNNNUAGUUGGUAGGGUAAAGGCCUACCAAGGCGACGAUCAGUAGCUGGUCUGAGAGGAUGAUCAGCCACACUGGGACUGAGACACGGCCCAGACUCCUACGGGAGGCAGCAGUGGGGAAUUUUGGACAAUGGGCGCAAGCCUGAUCCAGCCAUUCCGCGUGAGUGAAGAAGGCCUUCGGGUUGUAAAGCUCUUUCAGGAGGGAAGAAACGAUUGUGGCUAAUACCCAUGAUUAAUGACGGUACCUUCAGAAGAAGCACCGGCUAACUACGUGCCAGCAGCCGCGGUAAUACGUANGGUGCGAGCGUUAGUCGGAAUUACUGGGCGUAAAGCGUGCGCAGGCGGUUUUUCAAGUCUGAUGUGAAAUCCCCGGGCUUAACCUGGGAACUGCGUUGGAAACUGAAAGACUAGAGUGCGGCAGAGGGGGGUAGAAUUCCACGUGUAGCAGUGAAAUGCGUAGAUAUGUGGAGGAAUACCGAUGGCGAAGGCAGCCCCCUGGGUCGACACUGACGCUCAUGCACGAAAGCGUGGGUAGCAAACAGGAUUAGAUACCCUGGUAGUCCACGCCCUAAACGAUGUCAACUAGUUGUUGGGGAGGGAGACCUCCUUAGUAACGCAGCUAACGCGUGAAGUUGACCGCCUGGGGAGUACGGUCGCAAGAUUAAAACUCAAAGGAAUUGACGGGGGGCCCGCACAAGCGGUGGAUUCUGUGGNUUAAUUCGAUGCAACGCGAAAAACCUUACCUACCCUUGA